rnacentral:misc_RNA from 1 species
CCGAGUUUACACAACUCCCAACCCUAUGUGAACCAUACCAAUCGUUGCUUCGGCGGUCGCGCCCCGGUGCCCCAGUGCCCGGAACCAGGCGCCCGCCGGGGACCCUAAACCCUAAAUUUUUACGUGGAAUUCUGAGUGGCGCAAGCAAAAAAUAAAUCA